CGGCGGGCAUGGAACCGGCCGGCAUGGAAGUGGCCGGGAUGGGGAGAGCUGGGACAGAACCGACGGGGAUGGGGAUGGCGGCAAUGGAACCGGCCGGGCUGGAACCGGCCGGGCUGGGGACGGAGGGGAUAGAACCGGCGGGGACGGGAACAGCGGAGAUGGGGAUAGCGGGGAUAGAACAGGCGGGGACGGGAACAGCGGGGAUGGGGAUAGUGGGGAUAGAACCGGAGGGGAUGGGGACGGCGGGAAUGGAGCCGGCCGGAAUGGUGCCGCCGGAGAUGGAGCCGGCCCGCGAGGCGGAGGAGCCCCCGGGGUCCCCGGCCCUGCCCGCCGAGCCCGCGCAGGAUGGCCCGCCAGCCGCGGUGCCCCCGGGGCAAGGGGCGCUGCCCGCCGCGCCCGGCCGGGAGCGGGAUCAGGAGCGGGGCCGGCGCGGGGCCGACGCGCAGGGCUCGACCGGGCGGGCGGCGCGGGGCAGGGCCCGGCGGGCCUCGAGCCGCCGCAGCGGGGGCGAGAGCGCCAGGCGGGCCGGGGUCACGGUGGACAGCUCCAAGGCCAAGACCUCUCUGGAGGCCCUGAAAAUCAGCCUGCGGCAGCUCCGCUGGAAGGAGUUUCCAUUAGGCCGCCGCUUGCCGUGUGACAUCUAUUGGCACGGGGUAUCAUUUCACGAUAAUAACAUUUUCUCAGGGCAAGUCAACAAGUUUCCAGGCAUGACGGAGACCGUACGGAAGAUUACCCUGAGUCGGGCCAUGAGAACAAUGCAAAGUCUGUUUCCUGUGGAAUACGAUUUCUACCCUCAAUCCUGGAUUCUGCCAGAAGAACUUUCCCUCUUUGUGGAAGAGGUUCGUAUGAUGAAAGACAAUGAUCCAUCCUGGAAGCCUACUUUUAUUGUAAAGCCUGAUGGAGGCUGCCAGGGGGAUGGAAUCUACCUCAUCAAAGACCCAGGUGACAUCAGGCUGAUGGGGAGCAUCCAGAGCCGGCCAGCUGUGGUCCAGGAAUACAUUUGCAAACCAUUGCUCAUGGACAAACUGAAAUUUGAUAUUCGUCUCUAUGUCCUGCUGAAAUCCUUAGAACCCUUAGAGAUUUAUAUAGCCAAAGAUGGACUUUCUAGAUUUUGUACAGAGCCCUAUCAAGAACCCACUCUCAAAAAUUUGCACCAGGUUUUUAUGCACUUAACCAACUAUUCACUAAAUAUCCAUAGCGGGAAUUUCAUCCAUUCUGACAGUGUAAACACUGGCAGCAAGAGGACUUUUUCAAGCAUUCUGUGCAGACUGUCUUCCAGAGGAGCUGAUGUCAAAAAGCUCUGGUCAGAUAUAAUUUCAUUGGUGAUUAGAACAGUUAUUGCACUGACACCAGAACUGAAAGUUUACUAUCAGUCUGACAUACCAGCAGGAAAACCUGGGCCAACUUGUUUCCAGAUUUUAGGGUUUGACAUUCUCCUAAAGAAAAACUUGAAGCCCAUGUUACUGGAAGUAAAUGCAAACCCCAGCAUGAGAAUAGAACAUGAGCAAGAGCUUUCUCCUGGAGUAUUUGAAAACGUCCCAAGCCCUGUUGAUGAAGAAGUGAAAGUUGCUGUCAUCAGAGACACUCUGAGGCUGGUGGACCCUCAGAAAAAGAAGAGGAAAGAUACCCAGUGCCAGAGUUUGGAGCAGGCGCGGGAAGGGAGCCAGGAGCUGCCGGAGGCCGCUCUGCCCUCGCUGUGCCUCAAGCAGGUGUUCCCCAAGUACGCCAGUGAGUUCAGCUACCUGCGCCUCGUGGACAGGGUGGCCGCCUUGUUCAUCCGCUUCCUCGGGGUCAAGGGGACAACCAAGCUGGGGCCAACGGGAUUCCGCACGUUUAUAAGAAACUGCAGACUGAGUAACAGCAAUUUUUCAAUGGCUGCUGCAGAUAUCCUAUAUAUUGAUAUCACAAGGAGGUGGAACAGCAUGGGCAUUGAAAAGGAAUCAGGUAACCCAGGCUUGUGUGCAGCCUGAAUGUGCCCGGACUCGCUCAGUGAUUCCUCGUUCCAUUUGUGUUCUUUCUCUGCACCAGGCUGUUGCAGGUAAGUCUCCUAAAAUCUGCCCUGGGCUCUGGACACCCCUUGUCCUCUGUCCGCCACGCCCGUCCCUGCCGAAGGUUCUGGAAUAUUGCCCAGACCCCAGACGGAUCCCCUCGCUGGGCGCACACCUGUGGCUAUUUCCUUAAAAGGAAGGGCGGGGGCGGUGCCCCGCUAAUUACUCAGUUAAUGACCAGCUGGGAGACCCAAGUCCACCUGUACCCACUUGGUCUCCUCGGCGCGAGCUGCCCCCGUUGCCGGGCGGUGUCUCCCGGUUACGGGCUUUCCCCUCAGGGCCGCAGGAGGUCACGGCGGCCUUCUUGGGGACGGAGUUGCGGAGCCCUGGUGAUGAGGAGGAUCUCGUCUCGCUCCAGCCCGAGCCUGGCGGGGUACCGACUCCGCUCACGGAGUUACCCCCUCCUUGGGCCAAACUGAUGGGCACUGCUGGCACACCUCAGCCUGAGAGAGCACACUGGGUCUGUCCCUUUGCCCGCUGCAGAUGUCCUGAGUGGAUGAGAGAUGGUGUUGGGGCUUCAAAUUCCUGCUGAAAUAGCAGCAGUGAGGUGUCUACAUCUGCCCAGCUAUGCUUGACUUGUCUUGCUUUGCCCUCUGGUUGUUCCUCCAUAAGGGGAAAUUGAUAAAGUAUUUAUUUUUCUCUGGCUGUUUCCAUCUGCACUGCCUGGAGAGCAUCCUCCGGCUCACUUGGUUUGUUCCAGCAGGAUGAGGUUCCGAGCCUCCUGCUAUCCCUUCCCCAACCGCAUGCAGCCCAACUCGUGCUUUUCUCUCAGAUUAUUUCUGCUUUACUUACCUUCACUUCACCUUAAGCACACACACAAAAAAUCAUCAGCGCUACCCAGAUAAAUCCAUCUGGUCUCUGUCUCAGCCUCAUUUAACCUCCCAUUGAAGAGAUUGUAUCACAUGGUAUUCAGCUGGAACCUAUUACCUUGCAUGCCCAAGCAUAUCACAUUGAAUUACCCUGGCCCACAGGCCUGCGGUGUUUGCUAAUAGCUAAUGGCUGCUUUUAACUUAGAGGUGAUUUAUUCGAGCGCGUUUCUAUUCGCAGUGCAGCGGGGAGGGGGGGUGUGGCACUGUGUUAACCAGAGCUCAGCGAGUGAGCGCCGGCCGGCUCGGUGGGAUGGCUGAAGGCAGCCUGACUUCACAGCUCCGCCAGAUGCUGACGUUUCCCAGCAUUCCCGUUCCCCACCAUUCCCGUUCCUCACCGCUGUCCCAGAUGCAGCAACUGUUAGGGACUAGGAGUGGCUGCUCCUGGCUGCACGCAGCAAGAGAUGCGGGAGGGUCACAGUGCUCUGCCUGCCUGUUGUCACCAACCUGAAUGCCAGGGAACUUAUGGCACUUCCUUGCGCUCAGGAAUGUCCCGGGAAGGGGGCAGUGUCCCCACACGCUGUCCCCUACCCUCUGCCUCAACUGCUUCUGUGGGAGACCAAUGUUUUUUGCAGUUUUGACGGCAAAAUUAACUUCACUUGUGUUAUUGCUGAAUUUACUGCAGGUGUAGUGUAAAAUUGGUAUGAAAUUGCAGUAAAAGACAAAAUCGAAAGCCUGUUAUGGUGAUGUGAAGCAAUUUUCCCUCUUACUUUGCCUCAUCAGUGGAAAUACAAAAGCCCUUCUGCAGGUUAGGUUCAGAUACACUGGUGGACAAGUGGGAGUUUUGGUUGCAAACCCACUCCCUGAUUUGUGGUUUGCUGAGUCUUGGGCCUCAUGUUUGUCCUCUUGUCAGCCUCGAUCCCCCAGCACACAGCUCUCUGUGCUCAGGGGGUGAGGAGGGACCGUGGCUUCCAGGAGGAAGAGUGUAGCGACUGUAAUAAAUCAAAGUCAAUCAACUUGGGAGCUCUGUUAUUCAGGCUUCAUUCUUUGAUGAUGUAGCACAAAAAUCAAAUGGUUGAAGUUAUUCAAUUAUGGCUCAUACCACCAAUGGGGAGGUCUGAUCAUGUACACGGCCUGCAUCAAUAUUAUUUAUGUGUCGAGGAGCUGUGCUGGCUGUCAGGUGGGAAAUGGCAGAAAUCCUACAUGUGUCCAAGUUCUUCUCUCUCUUCCUCCCACCUUACUUAAUAACCAAGUAACCUGAUCUGCUGUCUGUCUAAGAUCAAUAAUAGCACAGGCACAUCAUAACAAGCUGGAAAACAUUUUUCCUGAGUGUCUCAGGACACUGCAGGUGCUGAGGUGAUGGUGGGGAAGGAGGUGCUGCCUGCCACAGGACACAAACCAUCUCCAUCCUGGCCUGGCUGCAGGCAGCACCGCUGGCCCUUCCUGCAGGAUGUGGAAGAGUGUGGGUAGUCAAUAGACGUGGAUAAAAUAAAGUUGUGAACAGCAGCAGGAGCUAAAAUAGCAACAUCAAUAGCAGUUUCCAGAUAAUGAUCAAAUUAGCACAAACAACAAGUUUCCACUAAUGACUCUUGUUCUUCCAGCUCCUUCCUUUCUGCUUGCUUGUCAUUAUUGACUCUCUGGCAGGGAGCGGCUGUGCUCCCGUCUCUGGGGCCAAGGCUUUGGAGGUUUGUUUACUGCCUGGCUUUGAAUUACUUCUCCAGAGGAUGUUUGCUCAGGAGCCUGGGCUGCCGUGCGUGGGAUGGCUGCGUGCAGAAGGUGGAGGGGGAGGAAAGUCAGCUGUUUGGCUUUUGUAGCUUUCAGGAAGCCUUGGGAAAGUUGUGCUCCUACUGCAUGUCCCUGUUGUAAAAAUAAGGAUGCUGACGUUCACCCACUGCAGUGGAGUGGGAGCUGGCUGCUUGUGAAGGGCUUGGGAAGCUGUGAGGGAAAGAUGCUUGUGAGGAGCAGAUUAGAGACUGUUGAGGAGCAGACCCAAGCUGUUUCUGUCCCUUCCCUCCCUAGGUAUGAGCCUCGUCUCUGCACCUCCCUGCCUCCCUCCCACUGAAACAAACAGGUUCUUCUGUGCUCUUAAGGCCUCAGUUUGACAAGUAUUGGCUAAAUGCUGUCACUUUCUCGGUUGUCAGUGGCCACUGUUCUGGCUGCUCAGUUGUGGUGGGCAGGAUUCUUGCAUUUGCCUGUUUUGAAGAUGCCCAGUUCUGACAUCUCCCAGCUGCCAGUUGCUGCUGUGGGACUUGGCUUUGCUAGGGCGACGGAGUGAGACCACGGCUGCACCACCUCAGCCUUGCCUGAGGUGCUUACUGGGCUGUACUGGAGAAGGUGCUGCCCAGCACCAGGAGCAGUUCAUGGGCCAGUGACUCUCACUAAACUCAGAACAAACUCUGUAAGGGUGCAAUUACUGGAACAUCAUUAUUGCUGAUGAGUCUUGUGCUAAAAUGACUCUCCAGAUUAAAAACCUCAAGCAAACGCAUCUGCGUUCCCCAGCCUCCCAGCCUCGUAUUCCUGUGGUUGUUCUGGCUGCUGAUCUGCAAUUCAGAGUCUCACUUCUCCCAGCCCUGCCCGUCUGCCGGGGCCCACUGGGAGCAGCUGCAGCCGGGCUCCGGAGCCGCAGAUGCUGAGAGCUGUCAAGUGCACAGAGAUGUUCUGGGUGUUUUUGGCUGAGAAUUCAGCUCUGCUCUAAUGAAGCCGAACAGCCGCUAAGGAGGUUUUAUUCAAGUCAAGGUGGUUUUGACUAAUCCCUCCUUGCAGCGUUUUCUGAGGUGCUCUGUGUUUCCAGGGCUGCAUUUUUCUUUCUCUCAACCUUCAAAGUCAACAGUGAUGAGGGGGAUGGCAGAGCCCUGAGGGAGGAUUUUGGCCUGGAUGGGUUUUGCCUUCCCUCCCUGGGCAGGUGCCGGUUCCUGAUAGGAACAGGAGGAGGGUUGUCCCAGCUGGGCGGCUCAAGCUGCUGGCAGCCAGCAGAGCCCAGUGCCCAGCCCGGCUCCAGUGCUGCUGAGCACAGGAAUAGCCACAGGUGCUCUCCACAUCCCGACUCAUUUCGAUGCAGCCAGCCUGUCUUACACCUCUCCCGGAGGAGCUAAUUAUGGUGAUGUUAAUGAGGCAGAGGUGCUGAUGCUGCCCAGGGUUUUAAUGACUUUCCUCCAAGUUUUCUGCUACUUUUACUGGAGGCAGAAGGGUGGUUUGUAAGGAGUGGUGGGGGCAGGAGCAGGCCUGACUGUCAGGCCCCCCGAGCACGUGAAAGGAAGGUGGUGGAGCCAGGUCAGGGCUAAAAUACUAUUGGGAGCAAAUUGCAAUGAUCUGUUUGGGGAGGCAGAUAAGACACGUUUGUGUGUGCAUGUGGCAUGUGCCAGGCUACUCUAAAAGCUGGAAAUGACUGAGUAGAGGUGCUGGAGCACUUACGUAAAAUAUCUAAAUAAAUCUUUAAUAUUUCUAAUUGCAAAUGUACAUAAAUUGCACAGCCACAUCAUUUCUUUGAACACCAACAACUUUCUCUGUACAUUAUUACAUAGUUUAAAAGGAGCUGAAGGAGAUUCAGCAAACACUUCCACUUUGCUUUUUUGUUUUUUAAACAUACUUACAAAAAAAGAUUUGUUUUUCUUUAUAAGAGGAUAUAAAACAUAGCGACUGCUUAUCAGGAACAAGUAUCAGCCUAAGCAGAUAUACAGAGAGAGGUAUAUCUUAAGACACAGUGAUGUAUGAUAAAGGAAUAUGUGAACAUGGAUGCUGCACUCUGGGGUACUGGUAGCUGAUGCAGAGCCACAUGGCAUUUACAGCAAUGUCACAGCUCAGGUGAUCUGUGAAAGUCAAUGCUUGAACGUGACACCCUUUUCCAAAGCAUGGUUGUUUCUGGAUGUUGUGCAACGCCCUCAGGAUUGGAUUUGGUUUGGAAAGCCCAUGAGCUGCAUGUUCUCAUGCUGCUGUUGUCCUCCUGCUCCCCCACGUGUGAUUUUCCCCAAGGGAGAAGGAAAAGGCAGCAGUUACCUGUGUGGGGUCAGAGCAGGGCAGGUGCCACUGUCUGAGCCUCCUGGCUGAGCGGUUUCCUCUGAAACGGCCCUGAGGCUCAGAGACCAGCUGGGGAUGGGCAGGGAGUGUCCCUUCUUGUGGCCACUGAAGGGAGCUUGUGGUGGCCAUGAGGCUGUGGCUCUGACCCAGACCAGGUCCCAGUCCUGGCCAGCCUGGAGGCCUGGAUUGCUUUGAAUGCAGACCUUUGGGAGGAAGUGACCCCAACAGUCAGUGCAGGUGGGAAGGACGGAGCGCCCACCCAGGGACAUUGUCACAGGUGUUCCCUUUGGACUUCGGCUUCGUGCUCUCCAGGCAAAGCUGUGUCUGAAGGACAGGGCAGGGACUGUGGUGGAGCUGCUGGACCCGCUGGUCACAGACUAUCAGAAAGGCCUCACCCCAGGGCUGCUCACCCUGUCCUGGGAUUGCUGGGGGAAAUGAGCCCCUCUCAGAUCAGACCCCUGGGCCACAGCCUGUGGCUCUCCUGGCUGAACACAUCAGUGUAUCUGCCAUCUGUGACUGAAAUUCCUCUCCUUGUCCAUCACAGAACAGAGCUCAGCACGUUUUCUAUUGCAUCUGUGUGUGGACAUUAGGAACAGGAAAACACCUAUGAGCUAUCUAAACUUUGGGAAUUAUUGAUUCCUUGCUGAUUGCUUUCCUAGGAGAGCCUGUGACACCUCACUGAGGU